UACGAAGGGGGCUAGCGUUGCUCGGAAUCACUGGGCGUAAAGGGCGCGUAGGCGGGCCUUUAAGUCAGGGGUGAAAUCCUGGAGCUCAACUCCAGAACUGCCUUUGAUACUGAAGAUCUUGAGUUCGGGAGAGGUGAGUGGAACUGCGAGUGUAGAGGUGAAAUUCGUAGAUAUUCGCAAGAACACCAGUGGCGAAGGCGACUCACUGGCCCGAUACUGACGCUGAGGCGCGAAAGCGUGGGGAGCAAACAGG
rnacentral:rRNA from 1 species